CCACAUUGGUUAUCUGUGGUACAUUUACGUUUAAUGAUGACAUCCCCAACAUUGAGUUCGAUAUAAAGUUUUUCUAUAGUCCCCUGGGAAACAAUCAGUUCAUGUUGAUGCCUUACAUGUGGCGAAGAGGUCCGCUGUGCGAUUUUUUCAACCAAUAUUUUCAGAAGUAUGUUCAACCCGUAUUAGAAGAUGUUUCGGAUGUUCCGAAGGCUGUUAAAGGUCAACCAGUGUGUCCGCUAUACGUGAAAAAAACGUAUACUAUUCAAGAGUAUUAUCUGCCUGAAGAUAUAUUUCCAAACUAUUUCCAACCUGGAACGUACAAAUGUGAACUCAAUUUCUAUAACGUUAAUGGGGCAGAAAUCCAA